CAUAGGUUAAUGAGGCGAACCGGGGGAACUGAAACAUCUAAGUACCCCGAGGAAAAGAAAUCAACCGAGAUUCCCCCAGUAGCGGCGAGCGAACGGGGAGCAGCCCAGAGCCUGAAUCAGUGUGUGUGUUAGUGGAAGCGUCUGGAAAGGCGCGCGAUACAGGGUGACAGCCCCGUACACAAAAAUGCACAUGCUGUGAGCUCGAUGAGUAGGGCGGGACACGUGGUAUCCUGUCUGAAUAUGGGGGGACCAUCCUCCAAGGCUAAAUACUCCUGACUGACCGAUAGUGAACCAGUACCGUGAGGGAAAGGCGAAAAGAACCCCGGCGAGGGGAGUGAAAAAGAACCUGAAACCGUGUACGUACAAGCAGUGGGAGCACGCUUAGGCGUGUGACUGCGUACCUUUUGUAUAAUGGGUCAGCGACUUAUAUUCUGUAGCAAGGUUAACCGAAUAGGGGAGCCGAAGGGAAACCGAGUCUUAACUGGGCGUUAAGUUGCAGGGUAUAGACCCGAAACCCGGUGAUCUAGCCAUGGGCAGGUUGAAGGUUGGGUAACACUAACUGGAGGACCGAACCGACUAAUGUUGAAAAAUUAGCGGAUGACUUGUGGCUGGGGGUGAAAGGCCAAUCAAACCGGGAGAUAGCUGGUUCUCCCCGAAAGCUAUUUAGGUAGCGCCUCGUGAAUUCAUCUCCGGGGGUAGAGCACUGUUUCGGCAAGGGGGUCAUCCCGACUUACCAACCCGAUGCAAACUACGAAUACCGGAGAAUGUUAUCACGGGAGACACACGGCGGGUGCUAACGUCCGUCGUGAAGAGGGAAACAACCCAGACCGCCAGCUAAGGUCCCAAAGUCAUGGUUAAGUGGGAAACGAUGUGGGAAGGCCCAGACAGCCAGGAUGUUGGCUUAGAAGCAGCCAUCAUUUAAAGAAAGCGUAAUAGCUCACUGGUCGAGUCGGCCUGCGCGGAAGAUGUAACGGGGCUAAACCAUGCACCGAAGCUGCGGCAGCGACGCUUAUGCGUUGUUGGGUAGGGGAGCGUUCUGUAAGCCUGCGAAGGUGUGCUGUGAGGCAUGCUGGAGGUAUCAGAAGUGCGAAUGCUGACAUAAGUAACGAUAAAGCGGGUGAAAAGCCCGCUCGCCGGAAGACCAAGGGUUCCUGUCCAACGUUAAUCGGGGCAGGGUGAGUCGACCCCUAAGGCGAGGCCGAAAGGCGUAGUCGAUGGGAAACAGGUUAAUAUUCCUGUACUUGGUGUUACUGCGAAGGGGGGACGGAGAAGGCUAUGUUGGCCGGGCGACGGUUGUCCCGGUUUAAGCGUGUAGGCUGGUUUUCCAGGCAAAUCCGGAAAAUCAAGGCUGAGGCGUGAUGACGAGGCACUACGGUGCUGAAGCAACAAAUGCCCUGCUUCCAGGAAAAGCCUCUAAGCAUCAGGUAACAUCAAAUCGUACCCCAAACCGACACAGGUGGUCAGGUAGAGAAUACCAAGGCGCUUGAGAGAACUCGGGUGAAGGAACUAGGCAAAAUGGUGCCGUAACUUCGGGAGAAGGCACGCUGAUAUGUAGGUGAAGUCCCUCGCGGAUGGAGCUGAAAUCAGUCGAAGAUACCAGCUGGCUGCAACUGUUUAUUAAAAACACAGCACUGUGCAAACACGAAAGUGGACGUAUACGGUGUGACGCCUGCCCGGUGCCGGAAGGUUAAUUGAUGGGGUUAGCGCAAGCGAAGCUCUUGAUCGAAGCCCCGGUAAACGGCGGCCGUAACUAUAACGGUCCUAAGGUAGCGAAAUUCCUUGUCGGGUAAGUUCCGACCUGCACGAAUGGCGUAAUGAUGGCCAGGCUGUCUCCACCCGAGACUCAGUGAAAUUGAACUCGCUGUGAAGAUGCAGUGUACCCGCGGCAAGACGGAAAGACCCCGUGAACCUUUACUAUAGCUUGACACUGAACAUUGAGCCUUGAUGUGUAGGAUAGGUGGGAGGCUUUGAAGUGUGGACGCCAGUCUGCAUGGAGCCGACCUUGAAAUACCACCCUUUAAUGUUUGAUGUUCUAACGUUGACCCGUGAUCCGGGUUGCGGACAGUGUCUGGUGGGUAGUUUGACUGGGGCGGUCUCCUCCUAAAGAGUAACGGAGGAGCACGAAGGUUGGCUAAUCCUGGUCGGACAUCAGGAGGUUAGUGCAAUGGCAUAAGCCAGCUUGACUGCGAGCGUGACGGCGCGAGCAGGUGCGAAAGCAGGUCAUAGUGAUCCGGUGGUUCUGAAUGGAAGGGCCAUCGCUCAACGGAUAAAAGGUACUCCGGGGAUAACAGGCUGAUACCGCCCAAGAGUUCAUAUCGACGGCGGUGUUUGGCACCUCGAUGUCGGCUCAUCACAUCCUGGGGCUGAAGUAGGUCCCAAGGGUAUGGCUGUUCGCCAUUUAAAGUGGUACGCGAGCUGGGUUUAGAACGUCGUGAGACAGUUCGGUCCCUA
rnacentral:rRNA from 1 species